UACAAUGGCAUUUUUUUCUAUGACGUUUUUAAAAAACGUCGUGAAAUCUGUCCAGAUUUUUCAAAUUCCAAAAAAAUUAAACUAAACCAUCUCUCGUUUUGUGUCCCGGUUAUUUCUUUUAAACAGUGGAUCAACUCAAGGGUAUGACAUUCUUCUAUUCAGAUUGAACAGAGGCAUGACUUCAGGAAGAGAGAGAAAUCGAGGCAUCGGAUCUUCGAGGCGUCAGAUCUUCGAUCUCCAUCAAUUCUUCAGUUGUUUGAUCUGAAAAAUCUUGUUCUACUCGUGAUUUGAGCGUAUAUCUUCCGUGAUUGUUUGAAUCCCUAGGAUCUAAAUCGAUCUAGGGCUCAAGUCCUUGUGUGGAAAACUCUUCUCUUUCAUCAGAUUGAGCAGCAGCAAUGGUGAAUCGAUUUAUCUAGGGUUUCGAGUGCGCUGUUAGUGUCUCUAAUCAUGUACGGGACAAGCAGGUGGUGUUGGAUGUGGAUCAUUGGUAACCAUGAGUAGAAGCUCAACGAUGAAGAGAUGCAGAUCUGCUCUCUCUAAGAUCAGAUCUGUUCUCUCUCUUUCUCCGAUCUGCUAACAUACUGGUACAAGUGGUUUUGGAGGCAUGCCAAGCAUUUUUGGUCAGAGUACUUUUGGACAAUCGGACGUUCUUCCCUUUUUUGUUUU